UACGGGGGGGGGCAAGCGUUGUUCGGAAUUACUGGGCGUAAAGGGCUCGUAGGCGGCCAACUAAGUCGGAUGUGAAAUCCCCAGGCUCAACUUGGGAGCUGCAUCCGAUACUGGAUGGCUUGAAUUCGGGGAGAGGGAUGCAGAAUUCCAGGUGUAGCGGUGAAAUGCGUAGAUAUCGGGAGGAACACCAGUGGCGAAGGCGACUACCUGGCCCAUUCUUGACGCUGAGGCGCGAAAGCUAGGGGAGCGAACGGG
rnacentral:rRNA from 1 species